GCGGCCCAGGGCGGCCCCAGCGGAGAGCGCGCCUCGCGCUGAAGCCCCGGCGGCCGGCGGCUACGCAAUCGGAGGGAAACCGAGAGCAGCCGAGCGGACAAAACCGGUAUGUGGCAAUAGAAACAGCACAAGGCGGCCCAGACCUGGGGAGCAGGUGACCGGCAAGGGGCACCGAGGAACCCUGGGGGAUGAGCUGCGUCCAGUUGGUGGGGGAAGGCAACAUAGACGUGAAGAAAAAAAAGGCUUUCCAAAGGACAGCGCUGUGGUCUCGUGGGCAUCGGGCUGAUACUGGCUG